GUUUUUCUUAAGAUUGUCUCAACAUAUUUAGAGCUCUUCUUACAAAUAUUUUUUGAAGGGAGAGAAAAUCAAAAUGAAGAUAGGAAUCAUUCUCCUAAUGGUGGUGGCAUUGUUAGCUCUUUUUAACGACAGCUACGCAAGCAUUGAGGAACUGAAUGGCUGUUCUAGAGGAGUUAGCAGGGAAGGACAAUGUGCUACUUCACUAAGUUGUGCCCAAGAUAUCAUGCAAACAUAUGGAAAAAAGCCUAUAAAUUGUCAAUGUCGUGAUCUUCCAAUUAAAAUUCACUUUUGCACAUGUACUGUUAUUUGUGAUUUUUUGGAAGAUAAGAAGGUCUUCCAUGUACCUCAAUUGAAUGAUCAAACCAAAUUAUCAAAUUGAUAAUUAGCAAUUAAUAUAAUAAGGAUUUUAUGAAGUCCCCAUAUACUAUUUCUCAAUA